AUAUAACAAACAUAACAAUGGUGAAAGCACAGGCUCUUAAACUAAUUGUGGCAGAACAACUCUAUACUCCAUAGACAAAUAUGACCUUUGACCAUGCCUUCCAGUAUACUGAAAAAUUGUCAGAAUUGUUCUACUAUUGACCUACAUGUAAAUCUAGCAUAAUAUUCCAAAGAUAUAGGUGAAGGUCUUUGUGAACAUAUGUUAACUGAAGCUGUCAUUCUUCCUCAGAUAUUUUAUUAGAAUACAUUAGUUGUACAAAAGAAGAUCUCAUUUUGACAUCUUCACAAACAU